rnacentral:misc_RNA from 1 species
UUGCACAAGUUGUAGUUGCUACUACUUUCAUAGUACGGCAAUAUAUUUGUUUGUGUUACUGACUUCGUCAAGUUGAGCAACUUGAUUAGAUUUCUGAAGCAUUGUAUCUGUUUGUUGUUACAAUUUGCAAGUCCUAAAUUUGUUCAAAAAGCACUGAUUG